rnacentral:rRNA from 1 species
UACGUAGGGGGCAAGCGUUGUCCGGAAUUAUUGGGCGUAAAGAGCGUGUAGGCGGUCCGGUAAGUCGGCUGUGAAAGUCCAGGGCUCAACCCCGGGCCUGCAGUCGAUACGGGCAGACUAGAGUGCGGUAGGGGAGACUGGAAUUCCUGGUGUAGCGGUGAAAUGCGUAGAUAUCGGGAGGAACACCUGUGGCGAAGGCGGCGCACUGGACCAUAACUGACGCUGAUGCGCGAAAGCUAGGGGAGCAAACAGG